rnacentral:rRNA from 1 species
ACGGAAGGCAGCAGUGGGGAAUUUUGCGCAAUGGGGGGAACCCUGACGCAGCAACGCCGCGUGCGGGAUGGAGGCCUUCGGGCUGUAAACCGCUUUCAGCAGGGAAGACUUUGACGGUACCUGCAGAAGAAGCUCCGGCUAACUACGUGCCAGCAGCCGCGGUAAUACGUAGGGGGCAAGCGUUAUCCGGAUUUACUGGGUGUAAAGGGAGCGUAGACGGUUUGGCAAGUCUGAAGUGAAAUGCGGGGGCUCAACUCCUGAACUGCUUUGGAAACUGUCGAACUAGAGUGCAGGAGAGGUAAGUGGAAUUCCUAGUGUAGCGGUGAAAUGCGUAGAUAUUAGGAGGAACACCAGUGGCGAAGGCGGCUUACUGGACUGUAACUGACGUUGAGGCUCGAAAGCGUGGGGAGCAAACAGGAUUAGAUACCCUGGUA